GAGUUUGAUCGUGGCUCAGAUUGAACGCUGGCGGCAGGCCCAACACAUGCAAGUCGAGCGGAUGACGGGAGCUUGCUCCUUGAUUCAGCGGCGGACGGGUGAGUAAUGCCUAGGAAUCUGCCUGGUAGUGGGGGACAACGUUUCGAAAGGAACGCUAAUACCGCAUACGUCCUACGGGAGAAAGCAGGGGACCUUCGGGCCUUGCGCUAUCAGAUGAGCCUAGGUCGGAUUAGCUAGUUGGUGGGGUAAUGGCUCACCAAGGCGACGAUCCGUAACUGGUCUGAGAGGAUGAUCAGUCACACUGGAACUGAGACACGGUCCAGACUCCUACGGGAGGCAGCAGUGGGGAAGAUUGGACAAUGGGCGAAAGCCUGAUCCAGCCAUGCCGCGUGUGUGAAGAAGGUCUUCGGAUUGUAAAGCACUUUAAGUUGGGAGGAAGGGCAGUAAGUUAAUACCUUGCUGUUUUGACGUUACCGACAGAAUAAGCACCGGCUAACUCUGUGCCAGCCGCCG
rnacentral:rRNA from 1 species